rnacentral:rRNA from 1 species
ACGGGGGGGGCAAGCGUUGUUCGGAAUUACUGGGCGUAAAGGGUCUGUAGGUGGCCAACUAAGUCAGACGUGAAAUCCCUCAGCUUAACUGGGGAACUGCGUCUGAUACUGGUUGGCUUGAGUGCAGAAGAGGAAAGCGGAAUUCCACGUGUAGCGGUGAAAUGCGUAGAGAUGUGGAGGAACACCAGUGGCGAAGGCGGCUUUCUGGUCUGUAACUGACGCUGAGGCGCGAAAGCGUGGGGAGCAAACAGGA